UUAAAAAGCAAUUUACAUGAGGUACAUAUAUAUACAUGCUCGCUGCAUUGUAAUAUGAAUAAAUCAUUUUCUUGAACAAACUAAUUGAUAUCUACCAUAAAUGAAACGCGACAACCAGUAAAUGCAGCACAUCUACCAGUAAAAGCAACACAUCUAAACAAUAGGAACUAGACUUCAAAUUAAACUAUAAAAACUUUACCAAUAAUUAUCAAAAUGCUUGUUUACUCAAACGCUUUUUCUCCUUCAACAUGACCUUACAAAGUAAUGUUUAUAAUGUGAUGCUUUUAUGUAAACUUAUAUAUUUGUUUUUAUGUACGUUUUAUGUGAUGUGU